UAUAGCCCUUGAUUGAUUGUGUUUGAAUUGCAGACUGAUACUUUGGAACGCCUUAAAUCUGGUGUACACUUAGCAUGUUGCCUAUGUCUUCAGAUACCUGCAUACAGAUAUGUUUACUGUGGCAUUCGUUCAGCUGCUGAAAUUCUUCUGUCCAUGUAAACGGACACUUCCAGAACAUAUUAGCCUGGGUGCAGUCUCCCUGUAAGGCGUGUGAAAUGUACAGCUGCAAAACUACAGUUUUAAACAAAAAAAACCUCUUCCUCAUAUGAACUGUCAUCCAAAACACAGGAUGAAAGUAGCUGAAGAGAAGUUGUUUAUGAUAUCAUCUGCAGGACUCCUAGAAAAUUCUUCAGAAACUUGGGCUUGUCUGUCUCAGGCUGCCCCUAAAAAAUUGAAGUAUUAAUCUGGCAAGAUGAAAUCAAGAUGCACAAAGAGAAGAUAUUGGAGACUAUUCUGCAAGGUGUUCAGGUAUUUGUGAUUUCAUUAUUUAUACCAGUAAUUGAUGCAUGAUUAGGGGUACUCUGUGCUUUAUGCACUUAAGGACUUAAAAGGAGAAUGUUCUUGUUAACUCAUGAAAGGCGACGAUACAAUGAUUUUAAUGAAAAAGUCACAAUGAUUAAAGCCGCUUAGUCAAAAUGCCACCAUGCAGCUUAAAGAUGAAGUUGUGAUUAAAAGGAUACUGURUAAGAGUUGCAGCU
ensembl:lncRNA